rnacentral:lncRNA from 13 species
AUGACGUUUUCGUCUUUUGAGCUUCUAGUCAUGAAAUCUAUGCAGCCUACUCAAUCACUUUUUAUAGCUACUGUUUACAGGCCUCCUGGGCCAUAUACAGCGUUCCUCACUGAGUUCCCUGAAUUCCUAUCGGACCUUGUAGUCAUAGCAGAUAAUAUUCUAAUCUUUGGUGACUUUAAUAUUCACAUGGAAAAGUCCACAGACCCACUCCAAAAAGCUUUCGGAGCCAUCAUCGACUCAGUGGGUUUUGUCCAACAUGUCUCUGGACCCACUCACUGUCACAGUCAUACGCUGGACCUAGUUUUGUCCCAUGGAAUAAAUGUUGUGGAUCUUAAUGUUUUUCCUCAUAAUCCUGGACUAUCGGACCACCAUUUUAUUACGUUUGCAAUUGCAACAAAUAAUCUGCUCAGACCCCAACCAAGGAUCAUCAAAAGUCGUGCUAUAAAUUCACAGACAACACAAAGAUUCCUUGAUGUCCUUCCAGAUUCCCUUUGUCUACCCAAGGACGCCAGAGGACAAAAAUCAGUUAACCACCUAACUGAGGAACUCAAUUUAACCUUGCGCAAUACCCUAGAUGCAGUUGCACCCCUAAAAACUAAAAACAUUUCUCAUAAGAAACUAGCUCCCUGGUACACAGAAAAUACCCGAGCUCUGAAGCAAGCUUCCAGAAAAUUGGAACGGAAAUGGCGUCACACCAAACUGGAAGUCUUCCGACUAGCUUGGAAAGACAGUACUGUGCAGUACCGAAGAGCCCUUACUGCUGCUCGAUCAUCCUAUUUUUCUAACUUAAUUGAGGAAAAUAAGAACAAUCCGAAAUUCCUUUUUGAUACUGUCGCAAAGCUAACUAAAAAGCAGCAUUCCCCAAGAGAGGAUGACUUUCACUUUAGCAGUGAUAAAUUCAUGAACUUCUUUGAGGAAAAGAUUAUGAUUAUUAGAAAGCAAAUUAGGGACUCCUCCUUAAAUCUGCGUAUUCCUUCAAAGCUCAGUUGUCCUGAGUCUGCACAACUCUGCCAGGACCUAGGAGAGAGACGCUCAAGUGUUUUAGUACUAUAUCUCUUGACACAAUGA